GACUCGAUAGCUCAAUGGAUAGAGCGGCGGUCUAAAUCCCCGAAGAUGCGAGUUCAAAUCACGCUCGAGCCA
rnacentral:tRNA from 1 species